rnacentral:rRNA from 1 species
AGCAGCCGCGGUAAUUCCCGCUCCAAUAGCGUAUAUUAAAGUUGUUGCAGUUAAAAAGUUCGUAGUUGAAUUUCGGGGUUAGUAGGUUGGUCAUGCCUCUGGUAUGUACUGGUCUCACUGAUUCCUCCUUCCUGAUGAACCUUAAUGCCAUUAAUUUGGUGUUUUGGGGAAUUUGGACUGUUACUUUGAAAAAAUUAGAGUGUUUAAAGCAAGCUAACGCUUGAAUACAUUAGCAUGGAAUAAUGAAAUAGGACGUUCGAUCCUAUUUUGUUGGUUUCUAGGAUUGACGUAAUGAUUAAUAGGGAUAGUUGGGGGCAUUAGUAUUCAAUUGUCAGAGGUGAAAUUCUUGGAUUUAUUGAAGACUAACUACUGCGAAAGCAUUUGCCAAGGAUGUUUCAUUAAUCAAGAACGAAAGUUAGGGGACCGAAGACGAUCAGAUACCGUCGUAGUCUUAACCAUAAACUAUGCCGACUAGGGAUCGGAAUGAUGUUAAUUUCUUAAUGUACUCAUUCGGCGCCCUUACGGGAAACCAAAGGUGUUUGGGUUCGUA